GUCUGAUUUUUCUCUAUUGAUUCAAAUCAAAAUUUUUCUGAGGUGGACUUGACCUUUAAUUAAAUGAAUUAAAAUUUGCCUGUACCUCCCUGUACAUCUAAGUCCCAACGUUAACAUGUUUUUCCCAGUAUUUCCCACCUAGGCGGGAACUUUACUGGGAAAUCGCCAACCCUGCCAGAUGGAAUAAAUCGUCCAAACUGACAACUGUUCAUUUUCAAAAGAAACUUAUGACACUGACAGUAUUGAGGCAAAUGCCAGGUAAAAUACAUGUAGUUACAAAUUUUUGAAAUCCUCAAAUUGCUGAUUAUGAAUAUCUGAUCAACAUGUAGGUGCACUUCCACAUAUUUACCAUGUUAAUCAAGUUGAGAGCUUGGAAAUAUUUUUUUGUGCAAAGACUUAUUUAACAUAGAACAGAUUUUUGUAAUCUACAUGACUACCAUUUAUUCUUGAAAUAUGAAAAGCCUUGUCCAUUUUCCCUCAAACAUUCAAAAUAUUCUUGUUAUUUUCACUGUUUCUGUUCACUUUAAAGUGCAUACAUUCAGUUUUUUGUUGUUGUUUGUUUGGAGGGGGUAAAUAUGCUUGGCUAGGACUAUAAUAAUCCUUAUCUUAUCUGAAAAUAUAAAUAAAUAGUUGAAAUAUUACUUUUUUGUAAUCAGAUAAACAGAGUGAAGAAUAAAAUUUCUACAUUAAAAUUGUAGUUUUGUCUCAUUUUCAAGAUUACACAACACUUUUUAUAUUAAUGUACUUUUAAACAAUUCUCUAUUUUAAAAAAAUCCUGAAUGUGAGAAAGAAGGCUAAACGUACAUAAAUAUUAAAUAUAACAGACACAUGAUGAACAGAAAUACAAUGCACUUCCGUCUUUCAAUGAUAGUGAUGCACUGACACUACAGAUGCAAGCACAUUUAUCAACUCCCUUUGCCCCUCAUAUUUUGACAAUAUUUGUGAAAAUGAAUAUAUUACUAAGUGAUUCCAGUGGUAUUAGAAGUUCAUACAUUACAAUUGAAUACCAACUGGUGAAAACAAACUGAUUCAUAGUCCAUCCAAAACUGCAAAUAUUACACAAAAAUUAUAUUUUAUUGUAGAAUAAAAGGGGGUUGAAAUAAUUUUGCAUGCAACUAGACCAAUCUUAAAACACCAAUAGCACUGUAAUUUUUACCAUAGGAGGGAAUUUCGUGAGAUUUUUUUUUUUCAAUUUAGUGGAGCGGGGGACAAGACAACCAUCUCUUUUAGGCUCCUGUAAUAUCUCGGGGAAGAAAUGCCUUUCCCCGUCCCCCUUUCCCUGUCAUAGUCAUACAAAAGUGGACACCAAGCUCAUUCAAGGACUUCAAAGUGUCCACACACUAAACAAUGCCUCAAAUAUUUAAUUACCAUCAUCAUCAUUAUCAUCAUCAUCAUCAUCAUCAUCACCAUUAUCAUUACAUGUAUCAUCAUCACCAUCAUCAUCAUCAUCAUCAACAACAACAAGACAGACUGACCCCAUGACCAUGCAGAGUGGGGUCAACAGGGGUCAUUGACACAAAGCUUAGCAAUGAUCAUAGAACAAUUUAUGAUUGAUCACAAUGACCAUAUUGUAUAAUCACUCAUAAAAUUCAAUAGUAUGAUUAACUGCUAAGCUAUGUGUUGUGGAACCCAUGUCUAAAACAGGUUUAACUGAUCAAGUUGGUAGAUUGCAGUGUGGAAACUUAAUAUCAGAUCAUGGUUUACAUUAGAGCCCGGUGCACACUACACAAUUCGUUGCGAUCCAAUUUUCAACAAAAAUUGUAGUAGUAUUCAAUAUGAACAUUUGAACCGGUAAAUAUUGACCAAAUACUGCUAUGAAUAAUGAAAUAAGAAAUUCUAGUCUUUUCAAGCAUCCCAGAAGGAAUAAUUACACUUUAUUACUCUUAGAAACUUAAAGUAUUAAGCACUGUAAAUGUAACUAUUAUAAUUAUUAUAAAAGUGCAAAUUCAAGUCCAAAUCAUAAUGACCUAGAAGUCAAUUUGGACUUUAUUCUGACCACAAGUCUUGCAGCAAAGUGGAAUCUUGAUUUUAGUAUUCUUAGCAAUAUGCCAAACUUCAUUUAAAUAUUACCUCUCUGCACUUUUUGCAGUUAAUGUGAAAUGCGAUUUGUUUAAAAUUUGCAUCUUAUCAGAACGUGUAGUGUGCGCAAGGCGUACAUGUAACUUCCCAUGUUCAGGCCAAGGCAUGAUGCCUAGCACCAAAUGGCAUAAAUCCCAGGCUAAUCUUAAUCCUAAUCUUAGGCUAAUCUUGCCUUAUCCUCUCUGUUGCUGUUCUCCUCCGCUUGAUACCAAGACAAAUAGAACCACCGGAACAAUGUACAUCCA